GAUGAACGCUGGCGGCGUGCCUAAUACAUGCAAGUCGAGCGAACAGACGAGGAGCUUUCUCCUCUGACGUUAGCGGCGGACGGGUGAGUAACACGUGGAUAACCUACCUAUAAGACUGGGAUAACUUCGGGAAACCGGAUCUAAUACCGGAUAAUAUAUUGAACCGCAUGGUUCAAUAGUGAAAGCCGGUUUUGCUGUCACUUAUAGAUGUAUCCGCGCCGCAUUAGCUAGUUGGUAAGGUAACGGCUUACCAAGGCAACGAUGCGUAGCCGACCUGAGAGGGUGAUCGGCCACACUGGAACUGAGACACGGUCCAGACUCCUACGGGAGGCAGCAGUAGGGAAAUUUCCGCAAAGGGCGAAAGCCUGGCGGAGCAACGCCGCGUGAGUGAUGAAGGUCUUCGGAUCGUAAAACUCUGUUAUUAGGGAAGAACAAAUGUGUAAGUAACAAUGCACGUCUUGACGGUACCUAAUCAGAAAGCCACGGCUAACUACGUG
rnacentral:rRNA from 1 species